UGUGACAGACCCAGAAUCUGCUUGCAUAUGCUUCAGUAUUUUGGCCAUAUCUCGAGCUACAGAACUCUAAAUGAUGUGACUCUCAGACCAGUGGAAAGAUAAGAGACAGAGCUACAACUUUAAUGAAGAUAACUUUGCCCAGUUCGGCUUUGAAGAUGGAGAAAAUUGCAUCGUAAAAUGGCUAGACGUACUGUGCCGGGAAUGGAAAAUUGUAAAGAUUGAUAAUUGAUUUUUAGGCCUUUUAGUAUACUUUUAAGCCCAAUUAAACCCUAGGUCAGCUUAAGGAACUUUAGGUUAAGUUUAUUAGUAUAAAUAGGAUAUGUUUAACAACAUUAGGAAGAGAACUUUUGAGAGAUUCAAGAAGUUACAAGUUGAGGCUGAAACUUGGAGAUCAAGGCGGAAAAAUAUUGUUU
rnacentral:lncRNA from 1 species